rnacentral:rRNA from 1 species
UUUAUUCUUCGGAAUAGAGAGAGCGGCGUACGGGUGCGUAACACGUGUGCAACCUACCUUUAUCAGGGGAAUAGCCUUUCGAAAGGAAGAUUAAUACUCCAUAAUAUAUUUGAUGGCAUCAUUAGAUAUUGAAAACUCCGGUGGAUAAAGAUGGGCACGCGCAAGAUUAGAUAGUUGGUGAGGUAACGGCUCACCAAGUCAAUGAUCUUUAGGGGUCCUGAGAGGGAGAUCCCCCACACUGGUACUGAGACACGGACCAGACUCCUACGGGAGGCAGCAGUGAGGAAUAUUGGACAAUGGGUGAGAGCCUGAUCCAGCCAUCCCGCGUGAAGGAUGACGGUCCUAUGGAUUGUAAACUUCUUUUGUACAGGAAUAAACCUUUCUACGUGUAGAAAGCUGAAGGUACUGUACGAAUAAGCACCGGCUAACUCCGUGCCAGCAGCCGCGGUAAUACGGAGGGUGCAAGCGUUAUCCGGAUUUAUUGGGUUUAAAGGGUCCGUAGGCGGACCGAUAAGUCAGUGGUGAAAUCUCAUAGCUUAACUAUGAAACUGCCAUUGAUACUGUCGGUCUUGAGUAAAUUUGAAGUGGCUGGAAUAAGUAGUGUAGCGGUGAAAUGCAUAGAUAUUACUUAGAACACCAAUUGCGAAGGCAGGUCACUAAGAUUUAACUGACGCUGAGGGACGAAAGCGUGGGUAGCGAACAGGAUUAGAUACCCUGGUAGUCCACGCCGUAAACGAUGCUAACUCGUUUUUGGGGCGCAAGCUUCAGAGACCAAGCGAAAGUGAUAAGUUAGCCACCUGGGGAGUACGUUCGCAAGAAUGAAACUCAAAGGAAUUGACG